ACAACGCCGGCAUGGCAUGGCAAGGGUGCGGGGCUCCCCCUCCCCUGGUUGGGGCUCCUCUCAGCUGGCAGCCUGAUUCCGCCUCAGUAAAGACAAGAGCUCUUGGACGCUCUCCAACUCAGCUCUAUGGCUUUGCACGAGGCUGCAGAAGAGCAGAGCAGUGCCAUGCGUGGGGAAAUGUUCUUUCCGCCUCACACCACGGGCUUUGGGCUGAUACCCAGUGUCUGGGAGGACGUGGUGACGGAUCUCCUUCCUAAUCCACUGUAGCAUUAAUGGGAGUUGUAGAGAGCAGUGAGGUCUCCCUGGGCCUCCUCUUCUCCAGACUGAGCAAUCCCAGCCAGAAAAGUUUGUCUUGGAAGAGCGAGAAGCAGGUGGACAAAAGCAACCAGUCGAUAAAUGGACUGGUUAUUGACCCACACCACUGCUUAUCGACUCUCAUCACUGUCCUCUGUGUUCCCCCAUGCGCUGGUUCCUCGGUACAGGACUGCCUUCAUUCCAGCAGAAGCUAUCAGUCUGUGACGUUGUUUAUAACAGGGAGGAAAAGUCAACACCAGAAAUCUUUCCUUUACCGUGUAACCUUUGAGAUUUAUCACGGUGUUGUUUCUCCGAGGGCUGACAGUAAGGUGACAGGAGGAGCUGUCUCAUGGCUUCUUUUUUGUUUAUUGGCUCCCGGUGUAUGAGAAAGAGCUAUAAAUAAUACUCCCCGAUGCGGACGGGUGCAAUUGUUAAAGGCACUUAACCUGCUGGCUGCAGCUGUCUUCCAAGGCAGUGUUCUCCCUCCCUGGUCACUCCAGGGGCAGCGGUGCUGCCGGAGGAGAGGCGGCAGAAGUUUGGAGCGUGUUGGUUGUGUACUUGGUGAACUUCUGCCGUGGAGAGAUGCCAAGGUCAGAGCAUGAUUGAAGAACCUCCUUCCUCUCCUGAAGUCGCUGUUACUGUAUGAUAUUGUUUUCCACCGUAGAAGGUUCUCUUAAAAAUGAGGUUGAGAUCCCUAAAGAAAUUGCUUCAAUCAGCAACAGUGCUUAAUGACUGUUAAUGGGAAGUGGAGAUAGGAUAGUAAGUGUUACUUUGAUUAAUAAGAGAACUGCAGAGAAUUUAAAUUGUGCCACUGAUGGAUUAUUUUCUUCAAGCUUGAUAAGCGCUUCUCAUUUGUUCUUAAAUUUGGUCAAUACUGUUAAAGACAGCAAAAUGAAGUAUAAUUAAUUCUAUUACUGCUACUCCGACCCAGUGCUACUGGGAAACAGAUUACAAUGCAGACAACAAUGUUAGGUAACACUUCUGAUGGUUUUAUCAUACGCGGACUGGUCAGGGAUGCAAGGCAGAGAACCUCAGAACCACGCUGAGGAGCUGCCCAGCUCGCUGCCUGCCCUGGCACGUGCCCAUCUCUUUGAAUCUACCACGGACAUGAUUUCAGUGAAGGAAAUAGCUGAUUGUGAGGCACGUAGGCAAAACAGAGAGCUCCACUUUGUUCCUCCCUUCGUGUACGCAUAAGUUAUCACGGUGCUUUUGAACAGACCUAUCUGAGUUAUGCAAUAAAUAGGGAAAAUAUGCUGAGAAAUGCAGUUUGCUCAGGGGCCCUCUUGCCACUUCUGAAGUCAGAUUUUAGGAAAAGGCUCUCAGCAGCUCACCCAUUCUGCUGCCUCGGAAUGGAUCCAGGCUAUGCGCAAAGGAGUUGGGAAGCUCUUCUGGGCUCUCAUUAGAGGUGGCUGCAAUUAGCACUUAAUUUUCCAGACUCUGCCUACUUCAAAGUCUAUGCUUCUCCAAUUCUGACUGCAGAAAGUCAUUGUGUGAGUGAUGUCGAAUUAAUUUGAAAUCAGAGUGUGUUGGCUAAUAGUAUAGCUAUAAAAUCAAUGAAGGUCUAAUUCUGUUAUUAAAAAUGUAAAGCUUAUGUAUUAUGAAUAAAGAGUUCAUGCUCUUCCACGG
ensembl:lncRNA